AUGAUGUGGAUUAAUUCGAUGCAACGCGAAAACCUUACCUACCCUUGACAUGUCUGGAACCUUGCUGAGAGGCGAGGGUGCCUUCGGGAGCCAGAACACAGGUGCUGCAUGGCUGUCGUCAGCUCGUGUCGUGAGAUGUUGGGUUAAGUCCCGCAACGAGCGCAACCCUUGUCAUUAGUUGCCAUCAUUUAGUUGGGCACUCUAAUGAGACUGCCGGUGACAAACCGGAGGAAGGUGGGGAUGACGUCAAGUCCUCAUGGCCCUUAUGGGUAGGGCUUCACACGUCAUACAAUGGUCGGUACAGAGGGUUGCCAAGCCGCGAGGCGGAGCCAAUCCCACAAAGCCGAUCGUAGUCCGGAUUGUUCUCUGCAACUCGAGAGCAUGAAGUCGGAAUCGCUAGUAAUCGCAGGUCAGCAUACUGCGGUGAAUACGUUCCCGGGUCUU
rnacentral:rRNA from 1 species